rnacentral:rRNA from 1 species
GUUGAACGCUGGCGGCAGGCCUAACACAUGCAAGUCGAACGAGUGGCGGACGGGUGAGUAAUGUCUGGGAAACUGCCUGAUGGAGUGGGAUAACUACUGGACACGGUAGCUAAUACCGCAUACCAUCAGAUGUGCCCAGAUGGGAUGGGCUUGUUGGUGGGGAAACGGCUCACAAGGGCGACGAUCCCUAGCUGGUCUGAGAGGAUGACCAGCCACACUGGAACUGGGACACGGUCCAGAUGCCUACGGGAGGAAGCAGGGGGGAAUAUUGCACAAUGGGCGCAAGCCUGAUGCAGCCAUGCCGCGUGUAUGAAGAAGGCCUUCGGGUUGUAAAGUACUUUCAGCGGGGAGGCGUUACCCGCAGAAGAAGCACCGGCUAACUCCGUGCCAGCAGCCGCGGUAAAC